rnacentral:misc_RNA from 1 species
GAUGAAGAACGUAGCGAAAUGCGAAAAGUAAUGUGGAUUGCAGAAUUCAGUGAACCAUCGAAUCUUUGAACGCACAUUGCGCCCGCUGGAACUCCGGCGGGCACGCCUGUCCGAGCGUCAUUUCAACCCUCAGGCCCCCCUUCGCGGGCGGGCCUGGUGUUGGGGCCCGGCCGCUACCCUGCGGCCGUCCCCUAAAUCCAGUGGCGGCCUCGCCGUGAUCCCUUGCGUAGUAAUGCACCUCGCACCGGAGAGCGCCGUGGCCACGCCGUAAAACCCCCAAUUUUCAAUGGUUGACCUCGGAUCAGGUGGGAAUACCCGCUGAACUUAAGCAUAUCAAUAAGCGGAGGA